rnacentral:rRNA from 1 species
CCUAACACAUGCAAGUCGAACGGCAGCACGGGCUUCGGUCUGGUGGCGAGUGGCGAACGGGUGAGUAAUGUAUCGGAACGUACCCGGAAGUGGGGGAUAACUAUCCGAAAGGAUAGCUAAUACCGCAUAUUCUGCGAGCAGGAAAGCGGGGGAUCUUCGGACCUCGCGCUUCCGGAGCGGCCGAUAUCAGAUUAGCUAGUUGGUGGGGUAAAGGCCUACCAAGGCGACGAUCUGUAGCGGGUCUGAGAGGAUGAUCCGCCACACUAGAACUGAGACACGGUCCAGACUCCUACGGGAGGCAGCAGUGGGGAAUUUUGGACAAUGGGCGCAAGCCUGAUCCAGCCAUGCCGCGUGAGUGAAGAAGGCCUUCGGGUUGUAAAGCUCUUUCGGCCGGGAAGAAUCGCAUGAACUAAUACUUUGUGCGGAUGACGGUACCGGCAUAAGAAGCACCGGCUAACUACGUGCCAGCAGCCGCGGUAAUACGUAGGGUGCGAGCGUUAAUCGGAAUUACUGGGCGUAAAGCGUGCGCAGGCGGUUUUUUAAGAUAGGCGUGAAAUCCCCGGGCUCAACCUGGGAACUGCGCUUAUGACUGGAAGACUAGAGUAUGGCAGAGGGGGGUGGAAUUCCACGUGUAGCAGUGAAAUGCGUAGAGAUGUGGAGGAACACCGAUGGCGAAGGCAGCCCCCUGGGCCAAUACUGACGCUCAUGCACGAAAGCGUGGGGAGCAAACAGGAUUAGAUACCCUGGUAGUCCACGCCCUAAACGAUGUCAACUAGGUGUUGGGUGGGUAAAACCAUUUAGUACCGGAGCUAACGCGUGAAGUUGACCGCCUGGGGAGUACGGCCGCAAGGUUAAAACUCAAAGGAAUUGACGG